AACGAACGCUGGCGGCAUGCCUAACACAUGCAAGUCGAACGAAGGCUUCGGCCUUAGUGGCGCACGGGUGCGUAACGCGUGGGAAUCUGCCCUUUGGUUCGGAAUAACAGCUGGAAACGGCUGCUAAUACCGGAUGAUGACGAAAGUCCAAAGAUUUAUCGCCAGAGGAUGAGCCCGCGUUGGAUUAGGUAGUUGGUGGGGUAAAGGCCUACCAAGCCGACGAUCCAUAGCUGGUCUGAGAGGAUGAUCAGCCACACUGGGACUGAGACACGGCCCAGACUCCUACGGGAGGCAGCAGUGGGGAAUAUUGGACAAUGGGCGCAAGCCUGAUCCAGCAAUGCCGCGUGAGUGAUGAAGGCCCUAGGGUUGUAAAGCUCUUUUACCCGGGAAGAUAAUGACUGUACCGGGAGAAUAAGCACCGGCUAACUCCGUG
rnacentral:rRNA from 1 species